rnacentral:lncRNA from 1 species
AUGCCAGUUUUAUCUAAUCGAGAACUGGAGUGCAGCAAAGGUCAUACUCAGUCUCUCCCCAGAGCAGGCCCUGGUACACAUGUGCAUGAAAAACCUCCACAACCAAAACCUUUGGUUCAACCAGGAGCACUGAAGACUGUUUCUAUGGGAAAGACAAAGCGUAGACUAGGAGCUGUCGGCACCCAGCCUGAUGCACAAAAGAAAAGGGAACCUUUGGAGGAGAAUAAAAACAAGAUCCAGAGCCACUUAAACCCCCUCAGUCAGACUCCUUUCUCAGACAUUCAGUCUCAGCUAACCAGCCUCACCGUCACCAUGACAGCUGAGAAGAAUGUGAAGGUUCAAGAGCCAACCCCUCCUCACACUGUUUCCACCAGACAGGGACCGCAGAGGGCUGUCCAUUAUCAAUCACUUUUCAAGACUGCUGAAAGACCAGACCUUCAGUCCCCACAUUAUGGUGCUCGAGAGUUGAAUCAGAGGACUGGAGACAGAUUAAUAAAGCCUCCGGGAACUGCUGCAGGUCUAAACCCACAAAGACGACAGUGGUACUGCUCACUAAACUUCAAACAAAAGAUGGACUUUGUGGCUGAUCAUCCCACAGUCCUGUCUCCUUCCACAUCACAGCAAAAACAAUCAAAGACAGGUGUCCUGUUCCCUUCAACCCACUUAAGAGGACACACAUCUGCUCUACAAACAGGAACCAGGGGGCAAGAUCAGCUGCUGAGGCCCCACCAACCUCUCCACCAGUCGCACCCAACCACAGAGGCUCCGACUGCACCAAAAGCCGUGAGCACUCAUCAUAAACCUCAGCUCCAGUCCGACUACAGGCUGUUCUCCCCAGCUACAGGAACCAAACUACAUCUACAGCCCCACACCUCCCAGCAGGUGACAUCCACUCCGAGGCUAAACUGGAGUCACGCUGCAAGACCCAGACCUGUGGCUCGCCACAGCUCCUUCGGCACCACCUACGGGAUGGGACAGCAGGUGGGCUGGAGGCCGUUUCACAGUGGCAUGAAUCUGCCAUUAGGAAGGAGCAAGAGCAUGACUGACAGACACUCAGGAGGCUUCAGAGGAGCAGGACUCAACACAAACACAACCAUCACCUGA